UACGGGGGGAGCAAGCGUUGUUCGGAUUUACUGGGCGUAAAGGGCGGGUAGGCGGCCACCGCAAGUCAGUUGUGAAAUCUCCGGGCUUAACCCGGAAAGGUCAACUGAUACUGCGGGGCUAGAGUGCAGAAGGGGCAACUGGAAUUCUCGGUGUAGCGGUGAAAUGCGUAGAUAUCGAGAGGAACACCUGCGGCGAAGGCGGGUUGCUGGGCUGACACUGACGCUGAACUGCGAAAGCUAGGGGAGCGAACAGG
rnacentral:rRNA from 1 species